rnacentral:tRNA from 1 species
GAGCCGAUAGCUCAGUUGGUAGAGCGGCAAGCUUAUACCUUGCUGGUCGGGGGUUCAAGUCCCUCUCGGCUCA